rnacentral:lncRNA from 1 species
CGUCUGAUGAUGACUUACCGAUCGAAUAAGGUUUGGUCAUUGUAUUCCCUGAAAGGAAUGAGAGGAGAAAAGGAACUGGAAGACCUGGCUAUCUGCAGGCCAAUGCUGGCUGCAGGUCAAUAUUGAAUGCUCUUAUGAAAACUCAUAAGACAAUAACAAAAAAAAGAAGCUGAGGAUGCUGUUUUUAAAACAUGCUCCAUUCAAAAAAGGUGGAUUGAAAUUUAAGAAAGGUGUGACGGUUGCGUCUGCUGCAGGCAGGGAGGAUUUGACUGUCAGCCAGAGGAUUUGGAGAUAUUCUGUAAUGUCUUUAAUGUGGACUUGCGUGUGAUUUAAGUUUUCACAAGGGCUUUAGUGUGUGUGAAAGUAUGUCAGUUUUCAAAAUUGAGCUAUGUCAAUUUGCUCAAACUACAUAACUCAAAGAACUUUGAAGCGGUCUUGUUGACGUCAUGAGCUUUUGUUUAAUACCAGUAUUGGUGAUAUAGGCCCAUGAUUAUAUACUGUAGAAAGUGAACAAGUUCACUGCUCGAUACAGAUAGUCAUAUAGCCUGAUCUCUGAAUGAUAUUUAUGAACCAAAAGAAGGCAUAAAAUAAAAACAUACAGUAGUGAUUUGAA